rnacentral:lncRNA from 1 species
UUUCAGUCAGUGUCUGGUAAAUAUGGUUCAGUACUGGGAAUGUUCCCUACGUUUCAGUCACUGUCUGGUAAAUAUGAUUCAGUACUGGGAAUGUUCCCUACGUUUCAGUCACUGUCUGGUAAAUAUGGUUCAGUACUGGGAAUGUUCCCUAUGUUUCAGUCAGUACUGGGAAUGUUCCCUAUGUUUCAGUCAGUACUGGGAAUGUUCCCUAUGUUUCAGUCAGUACUGGGAAUGUUCCCUACGUUUCAGUCAGUGUCUGGUAAAUAUGGUUCUGUACUGGGAAUGUUCCCUACGUUUCAGUCACUGUCUGGUAAAUAUGGUUCUGUACUGGGAAUGUUCCCUACGUUUCAGUCACUGUCUGGUAAAUAUGAUUCAGUACUGGGAAUGUUCCCUACGUUUCAGUCACUGUCUGGUAAAUAUGGUUCAGUACUGGGAAUGUUCCCUAUGUUUCAGUCAGUACUGGGAAUGUUCCCUAUGUUUCAGUCAGUACUGGGAAUGUUCCCUAUGUUUCAGUCAGUACUGGGAAUGUUCCCUAUGUUUCAGUCAGUACUGGGAAUGUUCCCUACGUUUCAGUCAGUGUCUGGUAAAUAUGGUUCUGUACUGGGAAUGUUCCCUACGUUUCAGUCACUGUCUGGUAAAUAUGGUUCUGUACUGGGAAUGUUCCCUACGUUUCAGUCACUGUCUGGUAAAUAUGAUUCAGUACUGGGAAUGUUCCCUACGUUUCAGUCACUGUCUGGUAAAUAUGAUUCAGUACUGGGAAUGUUCCCUACGUUUCAGUCAGUACUGGGAAUGUUCCCUACAUUUCAGUCAGUACUGGGAAUGUCCCCUACGGUUCAGUCACUGUCUGGUAAAUAUGGUUUAGUACUGGGAAUGUUCCCUACGUUUCAGUCACUGUCUGGUAAAUAUGAUUCAGUACUGGGAAUGUUCCCUACGUUUCAGUCAGUACUGGGAAUGUUCCCUACAUUUCAGUCAGUACUGGGAAUGUUCCCUACGUUUCAGUCACUGUCUGGUAAAUAUGGUUUAGUACUGGGAAUGUCCCCUACGUUCCAGUCACUGCCUGGUAAAUAUGAUUCAGUACUGGGAAUGUUCCCUACGUUUCAGUCACUGUCUGGUAAAUAUGGUUCAGUACUGGGAAUGUUCCCUACGUUCCAGUCAGUGUCUGAUAAAUAUGAUUCAGGGAGUGUUUCCUAGAAUAUGUUUUUUCAGAGUGAAGUGGCCUCCAACAGUACUUGUAUUGAAGCCUGUUAUGCAAAACAAUAUUUUAUAUGGUAGGCAUUUAUGGGCUUAGAAAUUAUUUUUGAAGCAUCUGUGAAGGGCUUAUGAAGGCUCUAUGAAUGGUCUUUAAAGCCUUUAUAAUUGAGACCUGAUCUUUUUUCCCAUAUUCUCAGAUAAACAUUUUGUUUAAAAGAAUCACGAGUUCCAGAUUUUGUCCCUGCAUGUGAAUAUUAUCUCAUUAUAUUCCUGGUAAUAAUCACUGUAUUUUACAGCUGUUAUGUUCUGCCAAAGUCACUAUUAGUUCUCCUCCCCAGUAAGUGUCUAACUGUCCUCAGGCCUCCAGCUGCUGAGCACCAUGACCCUGUGUGUCCUGACACAGCUAGUCCAACAGAGAGCUCUGUUUUUGGGCCAGGCUCCAGCUCCCUGACUCCUGGGAGGUCUCUCUCUUCCAGACCUCCACUGAUCCCACAUAGCAAAAGGAUUUUUAAUAAUGUUCGCUCUCUGUGUGUGUGUGUGUGUGUGUG